rnacentral:tRNA from 1 species
CGGGAUAUAGCUCAGUGGUAGAGUGUGUGCUUAGCACGCACGAGGUCCUGGGUUCAAUCCCCAGUACCCUCA